rnacentral:rRNA from 1 species
AUUGAACGCUGGCGGCAUGCCUUACACAUGCAAGUCGAACGGCAGCACGGGUGCUUGCACCUGGUGGCGAGUGGCGAACGGGUGAGUAAUACAUCGGAACGUACCUUAUCGUGGGGGAUAACGCAGCGAAAGCUGUGCUAAUACCGCAUACGCCCUGAGGGGGAAAGCGGGGGAUCGAAAGACCUCGCGCGACUAGAGCGGCCGAUGCCUGAUUAGCUUGUUGGUGGGGUAAAAGCCCACCAAGGCGACGAUCAGUAGCUGGUCUGAGAGGACGAUCAGCCACACUGGGACUGAGACACGGCCCAGACUCCUACGGGAGGCAGCAGUGGGGAAUUUUGGAAGAUGGGGGCAACCCUGAUCCAGCAAUGCCGCGUGAGUGAAGAAGGCCUUCGGGUUGUAAAGCUCUUUUGUCAGGGAAGAAACACCGGCUCUAACACAGUCCGGGAAUGACGGUACCUGAAGAAUAAGCUCCGGCUAACUACGUGCCAGCCGCCGCCGUAA